AUUGAACGCUGGCGGCAGGCCUAACACAUGCAAGUCGAACGAGUGGCGGACGGGUGAGUAAUGUCUGGGAAACUGCCCGAUGGAGGGGGAUAACUACUGGAAACGGUAGCUAAUACCGCAUACCAUCGGAUGAGCCCAGAUGGGAUUAGCUAGUUGGGGGGGUAACGGCUCACCAAGGCGACGAUCCCUAGCUGGUCUGAGAGGAUGACCAGCCACACUGGGACUGAGACACGGCCCAGACUCCUACGUGAGGCAGCAGUGGGGAAUAUUGCACAAGGGGCGCAAGCCUGAUGCAGCCAUGCCGCGUGUAUGAAGAAGGCCUUCGGGUUGUAAAGUACUUUCAGCGGGGAGGCGUUACCUGCAGAAGAAGCACCGGCUAACUCCGUGCCAGCCGCCGCGGUAAUAC
rnacentral:rRNA from 1 species